CAGUAGCCGCGGGAAUACGUAGGGUGCGAGCGUUAAUCGGAAUUACUGGGCGUAAAGCGUGCGUAGGCGGUGAGUUAAGUCUGCUGUGAAAUCCCCGGGCUCAACCUGGGAAUGGCAGUGGAUACUGGCUCGCUAGAGUGUGUCAGAGGAUGGUGGAAUUCCCGGUGUAGCGGUGAAAUGCGUAGAGAUCGGGAGGAACAUCAAUGGCGAAGGCGGCCAUCUGGGACAACACUGACGCUGAGGCACGAAAGCGUGGGGAGCAAACAGGAUUAGAUACCCCUGUAGUCCCUGUCUCUUAUAC
rnacentral:rRNA from 1 species